UAUUAUUCGCAUGCGCGCCGUCUGUGCGCGGAUGUAAUAACAUCGAACUGAUCGUUUAAUUGCUCACUAAACUAUGUGUUGCUUACAAUAGCGAAUAGUAAUAUUCAUCUGUAUUGAUAUUUAAUCGAACGUGAUCGAGACACACAUCUAAUCAAAAUACAGCGUGUGUAUACAUAUGCUUAAGAGCUUUUUAAUUGUUUUUGCGAGUUAGUAUACCGAAGAGGCUAAUUUAUAGUCUGCCUAACAGGACGAGGCAGUAAACGUAAACAAAAGUUAAUUGGUACUGCUGCAGUUAUGUAUCGGUUACCGACUAAUGAAAUUCGAAUUUUAAAAUUUUCUGUAUGGUUACUGCCUCGUCUCGUUGGACCGAGUAUACAUUUCAUUCCUAUCUGUGGAUUAAUACUGCAAUUUAUGCUGCCUCCAAAAUCAUAACUGAGAUAUACCGUUGCUUAUAUAGUAUCAGUAAAAUAGAAGAAUGGCAUUGCAACGCACACAUGUUGUAAUACAAACUGUCAACGAUUUAAGGAAAAUAAAUGGGCAAAUGAAAUCACAUUCUCGGUCAAGAACAACAACACCUUCAGGUGCUAUUCAACCAGAACCAAAAAGAACACGUUUCGGUUUUUUGGGUGUUAUCUGCAGUGUUAUGACAGGACUAGUCAUAGGAGCUACUUUAAGUAAAAUGAUGGCUAACUAUCUCGAAGAGAAAGAAUUGUUCGUACCUUCGGAUGAUGAUGACGACGAUGAUUAAUUUAUUCUCGUGUACUCUUCGCUUUUUUACCGUACCAUAUGAAGAUCUUGUUGCCAGUAUCUAAGACGAAUACGAAACCCGGAUCCAAGGAAUCACAACAAACAGGGACCGGUUCUAAAUGGAUGGAAGCUCCGGCAGCAUGAACCCUAUACAAUCGUGUUAUCGAUGGCUGGUAUGCGCCAACCGGAUCGAAAGCAAACACAUUGAACAAUAAUAUGGAAAGGUAAAAACAUACGAAACCGGACGAGGUACGACCUCCUUCGAUAUAUGUAAUGCCAGACUCGAACAACAUUAGAAAUUCAUCCGAUUCUUCGCCUUGUUCUUCCCUGAUUGUACGACAUUGCGCGCCCAAAUAAUUACGUAAAUUUACUGCGUGAAUUGCAGCACAAGCUCUUUUAUCCAACUAUAAAGUGUUAUACAUCGAUUUGAAAAAGGUGACACAUUUUCAAGAAGUGCUCUUUGCACGUUGCUAUAUCGUAUGCCGAUCGAUUAUUUCAAACAUACAUUAUACAUAUUAUUAUAUACUCACCGUAGCUUUCUCCCCUAUCCAGAAAUAAAUUGCCCAAACUAAA